GCACUUCUGAGGAGUCCCAUGAUGGGACGAAACGACCGUCUAGUAU
rfam:Schistosoma rodhaini strain Burundi genome assembly, scaffold: SROB_scaffold0000006